rnacentral:rRNA from 1 species
GACGUAGGGCGCGAGCGUUGUCCGGAUUUAUUGGGCGUAAAGAGCUCGUAGGCGGCCUGUCACGUCGACUGUGAAAACCCGAGGCUCAACCUCGGGCCUGCAGUCGAUACGGGCAGGCUAGAGUUCGGUAGGGGAGACUGGAAUUCCUGGUGUAGCGGUGAAAUGCGCAGAUAUCAGGAGGAACACCGGUGGCGAAGGCGGGUCUCUGGGCCGAAACUGACGCUGAGGAGCGAAAGCGUGGGGAGCAAACAGG